rnacentral:rRNA from 1 species
GGAUUAGAUACCCUGGUAGUCCACGCCGUAAACUAUGAUUACUCGUUUUCGGCGAUAUACAGUCGGAGACUAAGCGAAAGUGAUAAGUAAUCCACCUGGGGAGUACGAUCGCAAGGUUGAAACUCAAAGGAAUUGACGGGGGCCCGCACAAGCGGUGGAGCAUGUGGUUUAAUUCGAUGAUACGCGAGGAACCUUACCAGGGCUUAAAUGUAGAAUGACCGGUCUGGAAACAGACCUUUCUUCGGACAAUUUACAAGGUGCUGCAUGGCUGUCGUCAGCUCGUGCCG